rnacentral:rRNA from 1 species
GUGGAUUAGAUACCCUGGUAGUCCACGCCGUAAACGAUGGAUACUAGCUGUUGGGGGCAACUUCAGUGGCUAAGCGAAAGUGAUAAGUAUCCCACCUGGGGAGUACGGGCGCAAGCCUGAAACUCAAAGGAAUUGACGGGGGCCCGCACAAGCGGUGGAGCAUGUGGUUUAAUUCGAUGAUACGCGAGGAACCUUACCAAGGCUUAAAUGUAGACUGACCGGUUUGGAAACAGACCUUUCGCAAGACAGUUUACAAGGUGCUGCACGGCCGUCGCCAACU